CGAAGGGGGCUAGCGUUGUUCGGAUUUACUGGGCGUAAAGCGCACGUAGGCGGAUUGUUAAGUCAGGGGUGAAAUCCUGGAGCUCAACUCCAGAACUGCCUUUGAUACUGGCAAUCUAGAGUCCGGAAGAGGUGAGUGGAACUCCUAGUGUAGAGGUGGAAUUCGUAGAUAUUAGGAAGAACACCAGUGGCGAAGGCGGCUCACUGGUCCGGUACUGACGCUGAGGUGCGAAAGCGUGGGGAGCAAACAGGGUUAGAUACCCUGGUAGUCCACGCCGUAAACUAUGGAAGCUAGCCGUUGGAGAGUUUACUCUUCAGUGGCGCAGCUAACGCAUUAAGCUUCCCGCCUGGGGAGUACGGUCGCAAGAUUA
rnacentral:rRNA from 1 species